GAUGAACGCUAGCGGGAGGCCUAACACAUGCAAGUCGAACGGGAUUGGUAGCAAUACCAUGAGAGUGGCGCACGGGUGAGUAACGCGUAUGCAACCCGCCUUUAACUGAGGGAUAGCCCAUAGAAAUGUGGAUUAACACCUCAUAGUUCUGAGGAGCUGCAUGGUUUUUCAGAUAAAGCUCCGGCGGUUAAAGAUGGGCAUGCGUGACAUUAGCUAGUUGGUAAGGUAACGGCUUACCAAGGCUACGAUGUCUAGGGGUUCUGAGAGGAUGGUCCCCCACGGUGGUACUGAGACACGGCCCAGACGCCUACGGGAGGCAGCAGUGAGGAAUAUUGGUCAAUGGGCGCAAGCCUGAACCAGCCAUCCCGCGUGCAGGAUGACGGCCCUAUGGGUUGUAAACUGCUUUUGUACAGGAAGAAAAAUCCCUACGUAUAGGGACCUGCCGGUACUGUACGAAUAAGCAUCGGCUAACUCCGUGCCAGCCGCCGCCGUAACAC
rnacentral:rRNA from 1 species